rnacentral:rRNA from 1 species
AUGCACGACACAGCCUAUAAAUGCGAGUCGAACCCUCACACAAACGUACCAGCGAGCCACCAGCCAACUCACCAUCUCGCUCGCCGAUCUCUGCUCCAACACUUCGAUCGCCAACACCGAGCAAAGCAAGUCACCAUGGGCAACAACAAGGCCGCGGUCUGCGUGCUGGCGCUCGUCCUGUGCGGCCUGCUCGCCACGGACACGGCGGCGGCGGGGUGCGACGCGAGCGCGCUGAGCCCGUGCAUGGGCGCCAUCAUGCUGGGCGGGGCGGUGACGCCGGGGUGCUGCGCGCGGCUGCGCGCCCAGCGGGCGUGCCUGUGCCAGUACGCGCGCGACCCAUCGUACCGCGGCUACGUCAACAGCCCGAGGGCGCAGAGCGUCGUCGCCGCGUGCGGCCUCCCCAGGCCCAAGUGCUGA